UCCUUGGUGGUUCAGUGGUUAAGACUCUGCACUUCCACUGCAGAGGGUAGAGGUUCUAUCCCUGGUUGGGGAA
rnacentral:tRNA from 1 species